ACUCAAAUGAAUUGACGGGGACCCGCACAAGCGGUGGAGCAUGUGGUUUAAUUCGAGGCUACGCGAAGAACCUUACCCAGGCUUGACAUGUUUAGGACAACGCAUGAAAGUGCGUCUUCCCGCAAGGGACCUUUACACAGGUGCUGCAUGGCUGUCGUCAGCUCGUGCUGUGAAGUGUUGGGUUAAGUCCCGCAACGAGCGCAACCUUUAUUCUUAGUUGCCAUCACGUCAUGGUGGGCACUCUAGGAAGACUGCCGGUGAUUAACUGGAGGAAGGAGGAGAUGACGUCAAGUCAGUAUGGCCCUUAUGCCUGGGGCUACACACGUGCUACAAUGGCCAAUACAAAGCGCAGCUAACCCGCGAGGGGGCGCUAAUCGCAAAAAAUUGGCCUCAGUUCAGAUUGGAGGCUGCAACUCGCCUCCAUGAAGUCGGAAUCGCUAGUAACGGUAGAUCAGCUACGCUACCGUGAAUACGUUCCCGGGUCUUGUACACACCGCCCGU
rnacentral:rRNA from 1 species